rnacentral:misc_RNA from 1 species
AUACUUUGUUUUAGUUCUACUUAACUUGAAACUCUUAGACUCUAGAGUGCUCCUCCAUAAGUCUAACUUCUUGUUAACUUCAGCCUGGGUUUCAUCUAUUAACAUUAUAUCAUCUGCAAAUAUAAUAGACCUAUGUUAUGCUCUUGCAUAUGCUUUAUCAUCUCAUCCAUGACCAAAGCAAAAAGGUAAGCACUCAAGGCCAAUACUAGGUGGAGUUAUCCUUCAUAACCUUUAUAUAUCUAAUGAGAUACUAUUUUCCGUUUCAAAAUCCGCCAUAGAACAUCUCUUGGUCUCGUGUCUCUAUCGGAUUUUUUUUUAAUAGAUUAAUAGAAAAACAUAUGGAGAUCUUUUCUUUUCUCUAUGAACUCCUCCAUGGAAAAUUCUCUCUAUAGUUGAUUUCCUGGCACAAAACCAAACUGGUUAUUUGAGUUAGUUGCAUUGCAUCUUAAUCUAUGUUUCAUCAUCCUCGCUCAAUGCUUUAUUGUGUGAUUCAGUAGCUUGCAACCUCUAUAGCUAGAGCAACUUUGGAUUUCUCCCUUAUUCUGUAUUUUAAGAAAAGUUAUCUUUGUUAAUAUUAAUGCAUGAAGAUUUGAACUUGGAAAAGAGUAUCGCAGAUUGAGAGAAAUGGUUUAUGAUAAGGGUAUUUGAUUCAUUAAAAGGGCAUGGUUAGUUGAUAAGGUGACAGCAUUUAUUUUCCCUUUUGUCAUCGUCACAACUAGCCUUCAAUCCUACAUUGCCUUGCUAAUGUAGAGCUAAACUCACAUUAGACAAGCUGCUGUUUUGUUCUUGAAACAGAUCCAUUCAUCCUGUUACCAUGAUUACUGAUGUCAGUGUACUUGGUGUAUGCUUCUUGUUUUCCUAUAACUGAUCACAUUGCAUUCUGUGUUCUGAAUGUUGAUUUACUUGGCACGGGCAUGCUGUAUCUGUUUCAACUUGCAUUCUGUGUUCUAUUGUACCAUAAUAUUACUUGAAUGGACUUUUUUACAUCUAUCAUCCUCAUUUAGACCAGGUAAUAUAGCUGUUAAUUUGCUGUAGGUAGCUUGGGAGCAUGAACAAUUU